AAACUCCAGCCGAACGUCUGCAAGACCAAGGACCUGCUGGUGGACUUCAGAAGGAUUCUGAUGCCAAAAAGCAAACACAAGAUGAAAAACCUGAAGCCACAGUGCAUAAACUAGACAAUCUGACACGAAGAACAAUGUGGUGUUCUGGACUCUCGACUUUUACCUAAGAGGACUCAAGCAGUCUGGAUAAAUGGACUCAUGUCCGAUCAAGUUUGAUCAUCGGCAGCUCCCUACAAGGAUCUGUGCUCUCAUACUUUUUUAUCCUGUACACAAAUAAGUGUCAGAGCAGAGCAGUGGGCCAUUAUAAAGUAUGCAGAUGACUUUGUUAUUGCCAUUCAGCUCCAGGACAAUGAGACCAACCCAGUGUUAGAUGGUGUGAUGAGCACUGAUUUCAACUAAACAUUUCUAGCACAAAUGAUCUGAUCACUGGCUUAUAAAAUGUAACUCGUA
ensembl:lncRNA